rnacentral:rRNA from 1 species
GGACUACUAGGGUAUCUAAUCCCGUUCGCUCCCCUAGCUUUCGCGCCUCAGCGUCAGAAGAGGUCCAGCACGUCGCUUUCGCCACCGGAGUUCCUUCUGAUAUCAACGCAUUUCACCGCUCCACCAGAAGUUCCACAUGCCCCUACCUCACUCGAGACCACCAGUAUCCAAGGCACUUUUCCGGUUAAGCCGAAAGAUUUCACCCCGGACUUGGUGGUCCGCCUACGCGCCCUUUAAGCCCAGUGAUUCCGAACAACGUUAGGACGGUUCGUCUUACCGCGGCUGCUGGCAC